AUGGGAAAGACUAGAGAUCUCUUCAAGAAAAUUAGAGAUACCAAGGGAACAUUUCAUGCAAAGAUAGGCUCAAUAAAGGACAGAAAUGGUAUGGACCUAACAGAAGCAGAAGAUAUUAAGAAGAGGUGGCAAGAAUACACAGAAGAACUAUACAAAAAAGAUCUUUACAACCCAGAUAAUCACGAUGAUGUGAUCACUCACCUAGAGCCAGACAUCCUGGAAUGUGAAGUCAAGUGGGCCUUAGAAAGCAUCACUACUACAACUGAUGGAAUUCCAGUUGAGCUAUUUCAAAUCCUGAAAGAUGAUGCUGUGCAAGUGCUGCACUCAAUAUGUCAGCAAAUUUGGAAAACUCAGCAGUGGCCACAGGACUGGAAAAGGUCAGUUUUCAUUCCAAUCCCAAAGAAAGGCAAUGCAAAAGAAUGCGCAAACUACUGCACAAUUGCACUCAUCUCACACACUAGUAAAUUAAUGCUCAAAAUUCUCCAAGCCAGGCUUCAGCAAUAUGUGAACUGUGAACUUCCAGAUGUUCAAGCUGGUUUUAGAAAAGGCAGAGGAACCAGAGAUCAAAUUGCCAACAUCUGCUGGAUCAUUGAAAAAGCAAGAGAGUUCCAGAAAAACAUCUAUUUCUGCUUUAUUGACUAUGCCAAAGCCUUUGACUGUGUGGAUCACAAUAAACUGUGGAACAUUCUGAAAGAGAUGGUAAUACCAGACCACCUGAUCUGCCUCCUGAGAAACCUAUAUGCAGGUCAGGAAGCAAGAGUUAGAACUGGACAUGGAACAACAGACUGGUUCCAAAUAGGAAAAGGAGUAUGUCAAGGCUGUAUAUUGUCACCCUGCUUAUUUAACUUCUAUGCAGAGUACAUCAUGAGAAAUGCUGGGCUGGAAGAAGCACAAGCUGGAAUCAAGAUUGAUGGAAGAAAUAUCAAUAACCUCAGAUAUGCAGAUGACACCACCCUUAUGGCAGAAAGUGAAGAAGAACUAAAGAGUCUCUUGAUGAAAGUGAAAGAGGAGAGUGAAAAAGUUGGCUUAAAGCUCAACAUUCAGAAAACGAAGAUCAUGGCAUCUGGUCCCAUCACUUCAUGGGAAAUAGAUGGGGAAACAGGGGAAACAGUGUCAGACUUUAUUUUGGGGGGCUCCAAAAUCACUGCAGAUGGUGAUUGCAGCCAUGAAAUUAAAAGACGCUUACUCCUUAGAAGGAAAGUUAUGACCAACCUAGAUAGUAUAUUAAAAAUCAGAGACAUUACUUUACCAAAAAAGGUCCGUCUAGUCAAGGCUAUGGGUUUUGCAGUAGUCAUGUAUGGAUGUGAGAGUUGGACUGUGAAGAAAGCUGAGCGCCAAAGAAUUGAUGCUUUUGAACUGUGGUGUUGGAGAAGACUCUUGAGAGUCCCUUGGACUGCAAGGAGAUCCAACCAGUCCAUCCUAAAGGAAAUCAGUCCUAGGUGUUCAUUGGAAGGACUGAUGCUGAAGCUGAAACUCCAAUACUUUGGCCACCUGAUGUGA
rnacentral:lncRNA from 1 species